CCGGCAGCCGCAGUCGGAGCAUCCCUGGCUGCGGCCGGGCCGCUCCCGAGCCCAUCCCGCGCUCCCGCCCCGGCGCUCCCGGGGAUAUUCCCGCCGGGAGAUGGGAGCGCGGCGAUACCCGGAGCCCCGGAGCGGGCUGAGGCUCUGGAGGAGGAGGAUGAGGAGGAUGCCGCCGCUCCGCGCACCGGGGGAGCCGCAGCCCCGGGAGGGUUCGGGCGCUGCCGGCGGAGGUUUUGGCAUUCCUGAGGGGACAGACGCCAUCGGCCGCAGGAGCUGCUGGAAUCUCCUCGUGCCAGCCGUGAGGACGCCCGAGCCUGACCGUGCCCAGGGCUGGGGCUCAUCCCCUCCUCCAGGGAAAGGCUCCCGAGGCAGGAUUUGUUCCUGGAUGGUCCCUCUGCUCUGGGAUCCCGAGCGCUGAGCCUCGGGUGGGAUUUGGAUGCUCCCUUCUGUCCGGAGCUGGGAAUGGCACGGCCGGGAGGCUGCAGGCGCCUGCUGCUCCCAAAAUCCCGUGGAUUUACUGCUGUUGGCAUCAUCCUGGCGGGACUGGCGCUGAUACAGGGAACCUCCCGAGGGACAGAGGUGGAAAAGCAGCACUUACAGCCCAAGGCUACAAUUCCCUCUUUUUCUGGGCUGCUCUGAGCAUCCUGGCCCUGGAGGAGGGAGGAUUCCGUGCACUCCCGUGGGACAAAUCCUGCUGCUCUGAGGGUCCGUGCUGAAGGCUCGGGGUGAGGGACAGAGGGGACAGCCAGGACACCCAGGAGCAGCUCCCGAGGACGGACACUGCAGCUGGACACACGGACAGCGGGGACCAGCAGCUCGGCCUGGGCAGCGAUGGAACAUCAGGGCUGUGAGAGGCUCUCCCCUCAGCGCCCACCACCAAAACCAGCUCCGUGCCCGCUCCUCCGGGACACUGCCGGGGCUCCACAGCCCCCUCCCAGGGGAUUCCUCCAGGAGCUGAGCUCCUCCCGCGUGGAACUGGAAGGACUUAAUGAGCUGCUCUCAGCUGGGCUUUGGGAAUUAUCCUUUUGGAUCCUGGCGAUGGAUGGAUGCUGAGGAGCUCUUGGCUCAAACAGGAGCUCAGUGCUUUUCUCUGGGAAGGACCAAGCGCUUGUCCCGUUUCCAGUGGAUUUUUUUUGGUCUUUUUUUUUACGCCUCCGCUCUUUUUUUGCUGCUUUUGGGGGUUUGGGUGUUUCCUGAGGACGCUGGAGCUGCGGUGGAUCCCGUGGUGGGAGCUGGAGCCUUUGGAAGAGCAGGAGCUGAGCUGGUGAUGCUGGGGUUUCAAACUGUCUGCCAGCUGUGCUGGGAGGGUCCUUCUGCCACACCUGGAACAUCCCACAUGGAUCCCAGCCCAGGUGGGACUGGGAAGCAGGAGCAGGAAUGGGGGGAAGCCAGACCCCAGCGAGGGGAAUGUCACAACGGGGGGAGCGUCACCCUCAGAGACAAUUAAAUUGCAUUUAAUAAACCCCACUGGCUCCAUGA